CAUAACGCAAGCCAACAUCUUUCAAGUUCUCAUUUGGAUUUGAUGAUUGAAGAAUGAGCCCUUGUGCCAUCCAAAAUUGCACCAAUUCGAGAUCUGGGAAUAGGUAAUCUUUUGGAAAAACGGAACAAUAAAGAAAGCAUCUUUUCAAGUGAGUCGGUAGUCUUUGAUAGCUUAUUUUCAAGGCAGGUAAAAUGCCAUCUCCCUCUUCUUCCCACUUCUCGCUGUCUCUCACCGAUUUCCACUCUGUUUCAUCAGUCUUACCAUACAGUUGAGUCCCCAAGUUAAUCACUGCCAGAGGAACUUGCUUGCAUUUCGCCACUAUUUCUUUCCCAAUUCCAACCAAAUUUGGAUACAACUCCUUUUUCCCUUCCUUGAAUGCACACUUGUAAAACAACGACAGACAGUCCUCCUGACCAAGAAGACUUAGGUUGUGCGCAGCAACAGUACCCAUAAUCUCAGCAACACGUCGACUACGGGUAGUUACUAUAAUCUUACUUCCAGCAGCACCUUUUGAUAACAAAGUGUUCAACAACAACCAUUUUUUAGCUUCUUCAUUCCAAACAUCAUCCAAAAGAAGCAAGUAUUUCUUACCAUUCAAAAUUUCUUCAAGUUAAGCUCAACCUCAUUCAAAUCCGCACAUCUUUUCUCAGUUGCAGAGUCAAUAAUUUUUUGUAUCACUUGUUUCAAGGAAAAAUCAUCUGAAACACAUGCCUCCAUCUUCAGAUCAAAAUGACUUUUUACAUUUUCAGCAUCACACACCGAUUUGGCAAGAGAUGUCUUCCCCAAGCCUCCCAUUCCUACUAUCGAAAGGACAAGGGGAUGUGCAUCACCAACCUUAACAGGUGCUGCUAAAAGGUUGAUGAUGUGUUCUUUGUCUUUGUCUCUUCCGAUAAGACCGGAAAAGCUCUCAAAGGAUCGGUUCAUCUCUGUUUCCUCAUGCAAGACAUGACCACAAUCAAUAGCCUGCUCGCUGAGGUUGAAGUCAGACUUAAGAGAUGAAAUCUCAGCUAGUCUUUCUAUGAUGCUCUUUAUCUUAUGACCCAUUCUUAAACGGAAUGCAAUCUUAUUAGAGCUUGAAAAGAAGCGUCGUACCUUUCUGCUGGUGCUCCCUGUAGUUUUCACCACCAGCCUUCGCAAAGUUUCGCACUCGAUUUCGUCCAGCACGUCCUCUGCAUCAUACAAGACUUCUGUGAGAUCGUAGAGCCAGAACCGAAUCUUGUCAUUCUUUGAUUGUUUCUGCUCAGCAUCGGACAGCACUGCGGCGAUGGCUGACAAUCUCUUUUCAAGACGAGCAAUGUCAGCUUCAAGUCCCCAUGCCAAACGAAAUUCUUGAACAGCAAAAGAGCCUAACUUCCCUAAAAGGGAUUUUGCAAUCUCGGCAGCAAAAGCUUCUGCCAUUUUCUUUUUGAGUGAGGGGAGAAGUGUUUGAUAGGAAAAAAUGAUUGAGAUAAGAGUGGAGUUCUGCUUUCUUUCUUUUCUGAGUGGAGAGGAGAAGUCGUUGAGUCUUCUUAAUUAAAAUGUAAAAUGGCUCCAUGGAUCGCUUGUUUAAUUGGUUGUUCCCCUGUUCUCUUUCUUUUCUUUUCUUCAUUAUAUUAGCUAUCCUUAAUUGUUUUUUGAGUAGUUGACCAAGAAGUUAUGAAUCCACCCUACGUGGUUAUCUACUUAAUCUUAAUUUAUGUACCAAGUUGAGGAGGGAAAAUAAUAUAUAAUAAAUUAAAUACAUUGUUAACUUAUUUGAUACAUUAUAUUUAAUAUCAAUUGAAAUUGUGGCUCGGAAAACAGGGAUAUGUUUGUCAUUUAAUAACAUGGAGUUCCGCUUGAGAAGUCGUUGCUAAAAAGGAAGGAAGAUUAAUUUAUAGUGAUGCAACUGUGUUGCAGCUUCUCCCAUGGAAUAGUGACCACACAUGGUCGACCUGGGGAGAGUUUGAGCCAAUGAUGUUCAAUUCUAAACGCAUUUAAAAUAAAAUAUAACCUUAAAAGAAACAUUUUGAGAUCAACUCGCGCACAUAACGCAAGCCAGCAUGUUCCCAAGCUGUCAUUUGGACUUUUGAUUGAAUGAGUCCAUGUGACAUCCAAAAUUAUACGAGGGAGGGUGUUUUUUAAAAAAAUAUUUUAUUUGAAAAUAUAUUAAAAUAAUUCUUUUAUUUUAAAAAAAUAAUUUUAACAUCAACUCAUUAAAUAAAAUAAAAUAAAUAAAUAUUAAAUAAAAAUAAUAAAUUUUAAUAAAAUAUUUUUUGAAACUCAAUUCAAACAACAUCCUAAAAGUAGUAAUCUUUUGAAAAAAAUGUAACAACAAAGAAAGCAUCUUUUCAAGACCUGCAUAUAUUCUCACAAAUUUUCUAGAUUUUCACUCAUAGAUGAGUAAAGUUUGAAGAAAUUUCAAGCAACCAAUCCUAUCUUCUGGCAACCGUUUUUGCUUAGUACCAGGAAAUAAAUAUCUAAGGCUGAUGAUUAUAAUAAAAAUUAAAAUUAACAAAUAAUAUAAAUUGUUAGGGACUGAAAGUUUAUAAUUUUAAAAGUUAGAGGAUUAAAGUGUACGUUUAGCUCCAAAUUUAGAAAACAUCUCUCUUUUUGCCAUGUUUUCAUCUUAGUCUCCUAUAUGUUAAUCAUGUCCUUUCUUAAUAAAUUUACUUUAAUUGACCAUUAAUUUUGGCCUAUAAGGGUAGUAAUAAAAAAAAUAAAAAAGAAAAACCAAAAAGAAAAGAAAAGAUCAUUGUGGCAAUCCACAAUAAUUUGUUCCUUAAUGAAAAAUAGCAUGAGAAACAAUAUUUUCUUCAUGUCUUUUAGAGUAUUUCUUACUAUGCCAAUGAUCCUUGAGUUUCUUUAGUAAGUUAAAUGUCACUACUUGAUUUCCAGGCCCAUGAUCGGCAAUGUAAACAUAGCACCUCAAGAUGUCCCGCUUAAACUAAUACAUUUGAUAUCAUAAAAAUCAUAAAAUAGCGCAGUAUAAAACAAAAUAUCCAAAAUUGAGGAAUUCAAUAAAUAAAUAAAAAUCCAACUCUUUCAUAAAUAAUUCAAAACAUAAUUUAAAAUCAUUAUAUGAAGUAUCUAUGGAUAACAAAUAAAGAAUAAACUAUUGGCCUCAAGGAACAACGGGACAUUCCGACUCAAAGAAACAGGAAGAACACAACCAAAAGAUCUUGCUAUUAAAAUUGAACAAAAUACCUCAAAAAAAUGAAUUGAGGGGUAAUUAAGUCCAAACACUAUGUUAGAGGUAGCAACUAUAAUCAUGUUAAUAUAUACUUUAUGAUAAGUUAAUACGAUUACAUAAAUAAAAUACAAAACAAAACAUGUAUAUAAAAGGUAUUAUAUCAAAUGGUGUACAAAAGAAGUAUGUAUCAUAUUACUGACAUCCUAUAUAUAUAUAUAAUUGUGGGAGGUUAAUCCGCACAGUACUGACACUCUACUCGCCAUUAACAUGGAAUAACUAAUUACUCUUUAUUAGUCAAGAGUUUCUGACAGCGGUCUAAAUGGGGUAACAAGAAUCAUGAGCUCAAAUGAAGAAAUAACAUGAAUAUAGGAUUUAUGAUUUAUCAUCAAGAUUCAUAAUAUAAGCAUGGUCACUUCUGAACAAAUAUAAAGGAUAUAUGGACCGUGUUCAAAUCAAAUAAGAAUACAAUGAGUAUUUCAGAAGAAAACAGAAUAAUAAUAACCAUAACUAAUCAAACUUAUAUAGUCAACAAUUACAAUAAUACUCAUCAUUUCAUACCAAUACAUAUACACACACACACACACACACAAAUUAUCUCACUUACCCGGAAAAAAAAAAACAAAAAAACAAAAGAAAGCAAAUGAAAACGAAGCAAAUCGACUCACUGAAGAUCAACUAGAGUUGUAUCAACUAAACCUAUGUAAAGAAAUAAAAUAUAAAUUCAAAAACUACUAGAAAUUGAAUCCAAUAUACAAAACAAAUUAAACGACCCAAAAGACUCUAUUUCUCGUUAAAUGAUCGACCGAUAGGAACCAACCGGUCAACCAAAACAAGUCAGUUGACAGAUAAUAAGGGAAAUGAUCGACAACACCAAAAAAAGAUAGUCGGUCGACCUACCAAACACAACUCAACCGAUCGACUGCACCUCCUCAAUAGGUUGAUCGACAUAACAAAACAGAUUUUUCCUGCUACUGUAUCCACAAUUGGUUGACCACCCACACCUCAAACGGUCAACCACAAUGUAUGUUCAACAACUGGUCAACCUGUUUACUUUAACUAAUCAACCGCUUGAUCGGGAAAUCCAGAAUUUUGACUUGCAGUUUCAAUAUGAUUCUGCCAAGACACAACAAUAUGCCCAACAACAUCAAAACACUAUUUAACAAUUCUAGACUGUCCAAAACUUUUGCAUGAAGUUUAUUAAUAUGUUGUCUUGCCUUGAUUUAAGAUCUCAGCUCAAUUGGAGUUUAGUAAGGAAUAACUAUUUAAGCAGAAAAAUUGGAUAGUGUACAUGAAAAUAAAAUGAAAUACAUAAGAGCAUAAAUGAGGGAUAAAAUUAUAAUUAAUGGCAAAUUUACCUUUAAAACAGCAAAGAGACCAAAUAUUACAAAAAAAGAAAGUGAGGCAAUUGAGAAAAUUCAGCUAGAGAGAGAGAAGUGUAGAAUUUGGAGGAGCCAGCCUAAACAAGGCAGUAUGCUCUGGUGGUCAUAUAUCUGGCAUUAACAGUUGGAUCAUGCUUAUUUUCGGAUAUGAUUUUCUUCUCAAAUGCAUCUACUAACUGACUAAAGGAAUUUGAAAGAUUACUGUUUGUCAGAACUCGCCAUCGAAAUUAUCCUGGAAAACAAAAGGAAACACAACAUGUAAGGUAGUUUUGGUCAAUGGUCAUAUCUCCCGCAUCAACCGCCCAAAAACAUAUUUCUAACAUCCUAAACCCAAUAUUCAUGCUCAAUUCCAUCGUCAUCAUAGAAAAUUAUUAAAUUCCUCAAUUCAACAUACAAACCCUAACAUGUCUUCUACUGUUCAUAAUAUGAAAUUAAAGACAAAGUUUAGAAUAAUCUUACCUUGUUAUCAACACUCAAAAACCACAAAACAAAAUAAAACCUACCAAAAGUAAUGAUUGAUUAUUCAGAGUAAAGGAAACUUGAGAGAUGUUAGUGUGUUCUUAUGUUUUGCUUUUCUGAACAAUUAUUUCUUGUUUGUUUUUCUUUUCCGAAUAGGAAAACCCCUAUUUAUAAUUGGGUUUAGAUGCUAUGGCUGAACUUAUAUCGUCGGUGCAUGCUGGAAAUGAUAAUUCUACUUUGAUGCUGUGUGAAUUGAUAAACUUAAUUCCUGAACUCUCCUUGAUAUUUCGAUCCAUUGAAUUGGCAAGACUAGUAACAUUGUGUGAAAUGUUUUUCUUUUGAUCUUAACUACAAAUCAUACUUUCACUAAAUUCUGGAAAAUUCACGUAGUUCUGCUCAAUCGCCCAUCACUUGCCUAGAUUAGCUUUUUCUAAUCUGAAACUUACCCUGAUUACUUUAAAUGAUAAUUUCCAACCGCCAACAAAGUAAGCAAUUUCAUAUUAGCUUAUAAAUGAAAAUUGCCACUAGGAUAGAAGCUAACCUGAAGAGUGUGGAGUCUAGAUUCUAGUUUUCAACUAUAUAUACCUUUCAUCUUCAUCCAUCUGUAGAAUGCACACCCUGCUGCAAUAGAAGUGCUUUCUGAGUCAAAGAUGGACAAGACGACAAAACGCAUAUGUGAAAUACCUACAGAUCAUCAAAUUCAAGCUGGUCCAUUCGUUUGGUCUCUUCUUUUAUUCUGUCCCACUUAAGAUUAUCAUUAAUCAGGUGUUAUUAAGGCUAAACAUAGACUUCAAAACAGAGCUCACAACACCACCCCUGCCUCCACUGCAAGCUGCAUGAGAUAGAAAAGGAGGGGGGAGAAACUGGGUAUUCCUCGAAAUUCUUAAAAUAUAUUUUUUUGAAAUAUUUUUUAACUGAAAUAUUUUCUUCUCGUUGAAAUAUAUAUUUUUAGAUAUUCAAGAGCGGCUAAAAAUCGCGUUAUAAUAACAUAAAUAAAGAAGAUUUGGAAAGUGGAUGUGAAGAGGUGAAUUUAUCAAGGAAAGAGUAGGGGGUGGUUGAAGUGGUCUAGAGAGUGAAGGCGGCGACGUCAAUGGUUGCUGAUGGUAGUAAGCGAAGAAAAGAUUGAGGGAAUGAAUGAAUCAUGGUCAUAAAAACAGACAAAGGAAAGAAAGAGAGGAAGAAUCCCGGCAUUCAGUCACAUGCAGCUAUAAUAUUGGAAGGUAAGCAAAGAUUCAACAACAUAAAUACACAAAAUUUUGAGUGCUAAAAACAAGAAGGUUGAGGGGAUAACAGUGAAGGUGAAGAUGACAGAGAAUGUCCAUUUCUGGGAAUGAAUGAUAGUUGAGAUAAGGCAAAUAUGUGUGGCGGAAUAGCUUUAAAUCUUGGCCUAGAAGCAAGGAAAAUGACAUGAACGAAACAAAAAGGAGCACUCCUUGUCUUAAAGCAGGAUAACGAUGAUUAGAUGAAUUUUUAAAAUUUUCAAAACAGAGCUCACAACACCACCCCUGCCUCCUCUGCAAGCUGCAACCUGGUUUCGUUUAAUAUUUUAGCAAUAAAAUCCAGUGUGACAAUAACCAGGUCUGAGUAAAUGUAUUACAAAUGGAAGAGCACCAUAUACAGCUCCAAAUUCUAUAUGACAAUCUCUACCACUAUCAUAUAUUUGGGCCAAACACGCCAAGGUAUCAAUUCUACAUGUAGUUCGGUUUUGUAUUUUAAAAAUGUUAUUAACAAAUUUUGAAUUUUUUAAUUUUUUUUAUUAUUUAAAUUAUUUUUAUAUUUUUAGAUCGUUUUAAUAUAUUAGUUAAUAAUAAAUUUUUUAAAAUAAAAAAUAUUAUUUUAAUAUACUUCUAUAUAAAAAAUACUUUAUCAAACAUCCUUUUAUUAUCUGUAUAUCCAUUUGAUUCACCAUUUUCAGCCUUGCCAGGUAAAACUCAAUCUUACAAUAAGAGAACUUUUAGGACUCCUUUUGGAAAUCAAUUUCUUCUGAUGCAUGUUUUCUAUUCUAUUUUCUAUUUUUUUAAAUAUUUUUUUAUUGACAUAAUGGCGCCGAUUUAAUUAAUUAAAUUCACUCAAAAUCAAAACUUUAAAUUAUUUACAAAAUCACAAAUUAACACAUAAAUUAAUAAUAAUAAUAAUAUUUAAAUUGAAGUUUAUUUUUAAAGUGAUGCAACCGUGUUGUAGCUUCUCCCAUGGAAUAUUGACCAAACAUGGUCGAACUCAUUUGGGGAUUUGGGGAGAGUUUGAUGAAAAAAUGAAAUAGAAUCAGUAACUGACAAAUGACGGGUCGUUUUGGAAAAUCGGUGGUUUUGAGAGCUUACGAUUGAAAACUCAUUUUGAGCCAAUGAUGAUGCAAGAUCAUGCAUUUUAAAGGUAGCCAAGGGAAUUGCUUCCUCAUAAUCUUUUCAAGUGUGUCGGCGGUCUUCGGUAACUUACUUUCAAAGUUAGCCAAGGUAAAAUACCAUCUCCCUCUUCUUCCCACUUCUCACUAUCUCUCACCGAUUUCCACUCUUUUUCAUCAGUAUUACUAUAAAGUUGAGUCCCCAUGUGAUUUUAAUCACUGCCAAAGGAAUUUGCUUGCAUUUCUCCACUAUUUCUUUUCCAUUUCCAACCAAAUUUGGUUGGAAGUUGGAACUCCUUUUUCUCUUUUUUUUUUUUUUUUAACUGAAGAUAUCCGGGUUAGCUUACACGUACCUCAAUUAAAAUCACUCGAGACCCUGAUAUUAAUAGUCAUGUAAAUUUUCAAUAACCAUGAGAUUUAUAGCACUUAAACUGAUAAUAUCUAAAUAACAAACUUAAAAUUUAAUCUAUUAAAUUACACAUUUCAGAGUUUUAAAACAACAACAGCUAGUGCUGUAAUUUUUAAAAAAAAAAUACACUUGCAGCGGUGUGGGGGACAAACUAUCGAGUUAGUUUUGCCCUUCCUUGAUAAUUUUUUUCUUUUUUAAAAAAGAUACAUUUACAAUGCUGUCAUUAUUAUUUUUACGCUUUUAAAAUAAUCAAGUUGGCUUACAGCGAAGCAUGGACAAACUUUUUAAAAGUUUCGUUGAUUACUAACUACAUAUUUAUCAAGUGAACCCUUUUAUAAUCAAACUAUCAUUUUUUCUUUUUUCUUUUGUAAGUUUUUCAUAACCAGAUGUAAAUAUUCUACUAGACGUAUUAUAAACGUAAAAUACAACAAUUCAAUAAUAUAUAAAAUAUACUAAAUUAGAAAAUUGAGAAAAAAAACCAUGAAAUAAAAGUUGAAAGCAAAUUGACGCAGCAGGCAACACAGAGAUUGUACGUAACUUCUAAUUAGUUGUUUGCUUGCAAUAUUUGUCGUUGUAAAUUAUGAAAUGGCUACUUGGGAUGCUAUUUGUGUGGGGAAGUGAGACUUUUUUUCAUUUAGGUGAUGGAGUAUUUAUAUAAUUGACUAAUCUAACGUGUUGACAGGUUCAGGCUACAUUAUGAAACACAUGGACCCGCAAGGGUCCCUUUGCUUUUAUACAAGUAAUUGUACACAGUCACCCACUAUUACAAAGAAAACCUAAAUGAAUGGGAAAAGUAUUGUACUGUUACAAUGUUUUUUUAGUUUGUUUUUUUUAUAUUAUUUGUUUUUUUUUGUUAUGAUUUUUUAAAAAAAUUAUUUUUGCUUAUUUUAUUUUUUAAUAUUGAAAUGGUUGAAAAUUUAGUUUUGUAAUUUUUUUACUUUGUUUUUUCUAAUAAUUUUUUAUUUUUUGUUAUGAUUUCAAAAAAAAAAAUUUCUUAUUUUAUUUUUUAAUAUUGAGAUGGUUGAAAAUUUAGUUUUGUAAUUUUUUUUUAUGAGGUUAACAUAAUUUGUGGAUUUGUCAAGGUAACUUGAAUUGAUCUAGGUCAACCCAAGUUAAUUUGCCAAAUUCAUGACCUGUAUUAUGAGACCAUGAUAACUUCAUAUAAAACAAAUCAAAAUAAAUUAAGAAGCUCAAUUCUCAAUCAACUCAAUAUUAAGGAAUGAAAUUGAAAAAAAAAUUUAAUCUGAGUUAACCUGCUAAACUCGUGACUUGAGUUAGGAAAUCGAGAUAAUCUCAUAGAAAGUAAACAAAAAAAUCAUCCGAGUCAGCUCAGGUUAACUUUCCACGCCCGCUCAGGUUAAAGAAAAAUAAACUCGAGUCAACUGGGUUAACCCGCCAGACAUAUGACCCGAGUCAUGAGAUCGAGACAACCUCAUAAAAAACAAACUAAAAUAAAUCAUGAAGUCUAAUUCAUAAUCAACCUAAAGUUUAAUGGUGAAAUUCAGAAAAAAAGUGUCAAUUAUAAGGUUGUAUAGUAAAAAAAUGUUAAUUCAUUUUAACUUGUUAUGAAAAAUGAAAUUAGAAGAAUAAAAAUAAUUAUAGAAAAAAAAACAAAAAAAACUACUAUUAAAAUGAAUAGUAUUUUAUAAGGCUGUAUAGUAAAAACAUCAUUUUGUUAUGCCUAGUAGAGAGACUAAUUCGACCGGUUUUUCUAAAAUUUUGAGUAUUUUUUAAAAAAGAUUCAAAAUAAUAUUUUUUUGUAUUUUAUAAAUAUUUUAAUGGGAAAAUAUAAAGAAAAAAAUAUCUGAAAUUUUUUUUAAUAUAUUUUUUUAAAAAAACAAUCUUUAAAAAAUACCCUACACCAAAAAAAAAAAACUGCCUUAUUUUCUGAUAUGUGUUUGAAUUAUUGUCUUUGGCAUGGACCUUAUCUUUGACCAUUGAAAUUUAUUUUAAUUUUAAAAGCUCUUUUUGGUGGAAUUUAUGUGCUUUUACUAGUGCACUAAAUGCACCCAUUUUGAAUAAAGGAGCUUAGCCGGUGCACUUCUUUGGCUCGGACCCGCAUCUUUGACCAUUGUUUGCCCUUAUUUUAUUUUUACUCUAAAGACAUAUUUGUUUUUUAAAAAGUAAUUUUUGAAAAAUUAUUUUUUAAAUUUUUUUGUGUUUAUUUGUAAUUAAGAAAGUUGGUCAACAAAAAACACUUUCCGAUCAACGAAAAACACUUUCUACUCAAUGAAAAAUACUUUCCAGUCAACGAAAAAUACUUUCCGGUCAACGAAAAAUACUUUUCAGUCAAAGAAAAUUUUGGCUUGGUUUUUAGAAAAGUGUUUUUCCUUUUAGCUGUGUUUGUUUUCUAGAAUGUGGUUUCUGAAAAAUCACUUUCCAAACUUUCUUAUAUUUGUUUGCCAUUAGAAAAGUUAGUUAACGGAAAACACUUUCCAGUAAAAGAAAAAUUUGGCUUGGUUUUCAGGAAAGUGUUUUCCUAGAAAAUUUAGAAAUGUCAUUAUUUACUGAUUAUAUCAAAUUUGAUCCUCAAACUUUUGAUUGCUAUAUAUAUUUUGUUUUGAAUAUUUAUUUUUCAAUUUCAUCUCUUAAAAUUUUAUUUUUAUAUUAACUUUGGUUUUUAUUUUUAUAAUUGUUAUUUGCUUUUUUCUUAUUGAAAUUUUUUAUCUAUCAAAUUUGGUCCUCAUUCUUUUGAUUGUUACUUAUUUUAUUUGAAAUAAUUUAUGAAAUGUUGAUUAUUAUUAUUUUAAUUUCUUCAUCUUUUAUUUAUUUUUAUUUUUUAGAUUUGUUCUCUAUUAUUUUGAUUAUUAUUUAUUUUAUUUGAGAUAAUUUAUGAAAUUUUAUUUUUUUUCAAUUUCAUUCUCAUUCAACUUUUUAAUUGGUAAGAUUUGUUCCUUAUUAUUUUAAUAAACUUGAGAAAAAUAAAAUAUUAAUAAGUUAUUUUCCAGCUUAUUUUCCAUGACAUAAUCAAAUACUGGAAAGUAUUUUCUAACUUAUUUUUCAUUACACUACCAAAUAUUAGAAAAUACUUUCUCGAAAUUUACUUUUCUGGAAUUCACUUUCUCCAAAUUUAUUUUUCAAAAAAAAAUACUUUCUAGCAAAUAAAUAAAACUUAAAAAUGCUUGAAUUAAUUUAUUAAAUUUAUGAUUUGAAUCAGAUGAUUGAUAUAAAUUUAUAAAUAAUUAAAUUCUUAUUAUGAGUGCAUUACAGCUGCGGAGCAUCUUUGAUCAUUGUUUGCUUUUUUUACUAUAAAGUUUGUGGAUGGGUCCGUAGAAUUUGGAUGAGCCCCUAACUUUUGCAAAGAGAGCAAACAGUUGUUUUUUCGUUUUGUAGUGAGUUAAUUAUUGCCUACAAAUAAUUGUUUAGGGUGUUUUUUUUAGUUUUGAAAAAUUGUUUAGAAAUAUACUAAAAUAUUUUUUUUAUUUUUAAAAAAUUAUUUUUGAUAAAUAAUCUAAAAAUAUAAAAUAUUUUAUUUUAGAUAAAAAUAAAUCAAACACACCCUUAUUAUAAGUGCAUUACAGCUAAGGAGCAUAGUAAAUUCUGAGUAUUGAUAUCACCCUUUACUUUAUUCCGUAAUGUAAUUUCAGAAAUUUUACAUGGUUUGUUAUUUAUUUAUUUUUUGUUUUUUAUUAUAAUUUUUUAAAAAAAUUAUUUUUUCUGAUUUUAUUUUUUUAAUAUUAAAAUAGUUGAGAAUUUAAUUUUAUAAUCUCCUUUUCUUUUAUUUUUUAUAUGAGUUAGCAUAACUUGCAAGUUUGUUGAGGUAACACAAGCUAUCUCAUUUUAUAGAUUUGAUGGGUUUUUAAUUGAACUUGACUUCCUUAUUCUAUUUUUUCUCAUAUUAUUAAAAAAUAGUUUUAGAGAAAAACUAUGUUAUUAAAUUUUAUGACGUAUUAAAAAUUAAAGGAUAUAAGAGAAACCACUAUUCUCCCAAUUGCACUAAGGAUUACAAUAGUAAUCCACACUUUUUUGCUUUCUUUUUUCUUUUGGUGUUUUUUUGAAUUAUUGUUAUGAUUUUUUUAAAUAUAUUUUUGUUGAUUUCGUCUUUUAAAUUGACAUUGUUAAGAAUUUAGCUUCAUAAUUUGCUUCUUUUUAUUUUUUUUAUAUGAGGUUAACGUGAUUUGCGGGUUUGCUAAGGUAAAUGAGGUUGCUCUGGUUUUUAAGUUUGGUGAAUUGUCUUUUUUUUAAUUGAAUUUAACUUUUUUUAUAGUCUGUUUUUUUCUCAUACAGUUAAAAAAUAGUUUUAGAGAAAAGUCAAGUUAUUAAACUUUAUAAAGUAACAAAAAUUAAAGGGUGUGAGACAACCAUUGUACACCUACACACAUUGCACUGUGAAUAAGAAUAAUAGCCCACAGUGUUUUACUUUAUUUAUUUUUUUCUUUAUGUUUUUGAAUUUUUGUCAUGAUUGUUGUUUCGAAUUUGUUUUUAUUGGUUUUAUAAUAUUAGGAUGGUUAAUAAUUUAGUUUCAUAAUUUGUUUCGUUUUAUCUUACUUUUCUAUAAGAUUAACAUGGUUUGAGAAUUUGUUAGGGUAAUCCCGGUUGCCCUGGUUUAUGAGUUUGGUGGAGUGUUUUUUUUUUAAUUGAACUUAAAUUUUUUUAUCGUCUAUUUUAUUCUCAUAUAGUUAAAAAAAAAAAAUUCAGAAAAAAGUUAUGUUAUUAAACUUUAUAGAGUCCAUGGAUCUAUUCACAGGUUUGGUUGAUUGACUUGGUUCGCGGGUCUAACAAAUUUAACUUUUUUAAAUUAGUUUUUUUUUCAUCCUUAGAUACUAAAUUAAUUAGGAAUUUAAUUUCAUAAUUGGUUUUCUUUUGCCUUUUAUAAAGUUAUCGUAAUCUAAAAAACAUCUCAUUAUUGGGAUUGUAUUUGAUUUUAUAAUCAUCUAUUUUUGUUAUUUGUAUAGUUAAAUAAAAAAUAGAUUACAAUUUUUUUUUUAUAAUCCUAGUGGAGUUUAUAACUCAAUUCACAUGUUUGACGUACUAGCCCGGCUUACCAGAUUCAUAGGUUUGAUAAGUUUACCCACCAAUAUAAUAUAUUUUUUUUUGUCUUUUAAUUUAUUUUUUCUCAAUUUUAUCAUUUAAUAUUGAAUUGAUCGAGAAAUGGACUGUAUUAUUGAUUUUUGUUUGCUUUCUAAAGAUAGUCAUAUUAAAUAAAUAUUUAUUUUUAGAUUAGUAUUUAAUUUUGUAAGCAUUUGUUUUCUGAUAUGUGUUUGAUUUAUUAUCUUUGGCACGGACCCUUAUCUUUGACCAUUGAAAUGUAUUUUAAUUUUAAAAGUUUGUUAUGAAUUAAAUUUGUUUUGAUUUUCUAUAUCAUUUUAAUUAAAUUAAAUUAGGGUUGAAUCAUAAUUCCACCCUUGAUGUUAUUACUUAAUCUUUACUUAUAUACCAAAAUCUCAAGCUGCUGAAGAGUGAAAAUAUUGUUUAACAAAUCAAGUAUGUUCUUAACUUAUUUGAUUAUUUAGGCCUUGUUACUUUUUCUAUUUUAAAAACAUUUUAAAAAAAAAUUAAUUUUUUUUUAUUUUUUUCUUUACUUGAAAUUAAUAUUUCUUUUUAGUAUUUUCUUAUCAUUUUAAUAUAAUGAUGUCAAAAUAAUUUUUAAAAAAUAUAAAAAAAUAAUUUUAAUAUAUAUUUUUUAAAAAAUACUUUAAAAAAUAAUAAUGAUUAUACUCUCAAAAACAUUAUUCACAACAAAACUAUAUAAAAAGGGUAACGGUGUGAGUUUAUCAAAAUUUUGUUGGGAUAUUAGAUUCAUGGAUUUUUAAGAGUUUUAAUAGGCUAUGACCCAAUAGUGUUUGGGCCAUGGCCCAAACUAGUCCUAAAAUAUUUUCUUUUGAGCAUUGCCAGGGAGAAAAAAUAAAUGAAAAUUUUAUCCUUACUUUGUGGUGAUUGAAGGAACGAAUGUACGAUGGUCAUCAAAUCUUUUACUUUGAAAAAAAUCUUCUAAAGAAUCUAUUCUUUACUUAGAACUUCCUAAGCAAUAAGCACAAUAGCAUAAACAAUCCUUGUAGAAAAGCAAGUGGUGUCUCUCAGAAUCUGAAAUGUAUCGGAGAUCAAAGAUGAUCAUGACGUAUCCUAUCUUAUGUACUUUCUCAAGAGUUUUUAAUUAUAAUAGUGAUGAUGCUAAUUAAUUUUAUUUAGGUUAAAAAUUAGAUUUAAAAAUAUGAUAAAAAAUAGAAUAGAAAGUCCUGCUAUUAAUGAAAAACAAUCACGAAAUUUGCAUUUAGAUCUUAUUUGAAAAAAUAAAUAGGUUAAAAUAUAUAACCUGUUGCUUUAGUUUACGAGUUUGAUGGUGUACUUUUUUUAAUUGAACUGGACUUUAUUAAUAUUUUUUUUAUAUAGUUAAAAAAAUAGUUUUAGAAAAAAAAAUAUUAUUAAACUUUAUAAAAUCCAUGGAUCUAUUCACAACUUUAGUAUAUUACAAGUUACAUGACCCGCGCGAUGCCACGGGUCAAUUUUUUUUUUUUGCAUUAAAAAUAUAUAAAAAAAACUAAGAUUUAAAAGUGUUAGGUCUUUUUACAAAUUUAUAUCUAAGAGUCUUGGGUUUGGCUGCAACGUUUGACCCAGGAGUAAUAUUUAUAAUAACAUUAAGCUUGCAUGACCCAAGUUUAUGUGGGUCUGGCUAAAAUACCAGAUCCAAUAGGCUUGGAUAUAGGUAUGGCUGUAAGGUCGUGUCAUAAAAAUGUGAUAAUUAAAUAGAUUAAUUAAAAAGAAAAAAACAAAGAAAAAAAACCAACAACAAGAAAAAAACUAAUGAAGAAAAAGAAAAAAAAAUUGAAUCAACUGGGUUAACCCUUCAAACCAAGUUAAUCCGUCAAACCUAGGAUUCACGUCAUGAAAGUUUGAUAAUUAAAUAGGAAAAAAAAAUUGACGGGUUUUCCCAGAAUUAACUGGGUUAACCCGUCAAACUAGGUUAAUCCAUCAAGUCCGCGAUCCGUGUCAUGAAAAUUUGAUAAUUAAAUAAAAAGAAAUAUAGCAUUAACAAACUAAAUUAAACGAAAAAAAUUAAUUAAAAACAAAAAAACAAAAAAAAUAAUAAUUAUGAGUUAACCUGUCAAACCAGGUUAACUCGUCAAACCAGGGAUUCGUGUCAUGAAAGUUUGAUAACUAAAUAAAAAAACUUAACAUUAACAAACUAAUUUUAAAAAAAAAUUCAUUGAAAGAAAAAAACACAAAGAAAAAAGCAAAAAAAAAAAAAAAACCGUAAAGGCAUAAAAAACAAAAAAAACCGUAAAGGCAUAAAAAACAAAAAAAAACAAUUUUUUUUUUUUAAAAAGAUAGCUCAGUUUUUCACUGCAGACUGUAUUGUGCAGUGCACAGUGAAAUAUAAAGCAAUUUUAGUAUAUGUUAUAAUGUAAUUUCUUAUGCAUUUUUUCUAUUCUUUUUUCAAUUUUUUUAACAUAUUUGUUUAUUGAUAAAAUAACACGGUUGCAUUUAAGUUUUGUUUUUUUAAUUCAAAAUGACAACAUUUUGAAUUGCAGCAAAAUUUCUUUUUUUAAAGGUCCCUUAAGUUUGGUGUCUUUUCAAGUUUGGUUCUUGCAUAUUUAAUUGUUUUAUUUUUGUCCAAUUUCAACCCUUUUUUCUUUAUUUUUUCUCAACUUCAUCUUGAUUGCAUUACAUAUAGUCCUUAAAUAUUGAUGUGUUUUUCAAAUUGGUCCUUAGCUUUCCAAUUUUCAAUUAUAUAACGAAUUUCAAUCUCCCCACUGAUAGUAAUUUUUCUCUUUUUUUUUGUUUUUUUUUGAAAUAUUUGUUAAUUGAAAUAUUUUUUUCUUGUUAAAAUAUAUUUUUUAGAUAUUUAAGAAGGGUUAAAAAUCGUGUUAUAAUAACAUAAAUAAAGAAGAUUUGGAAAGUGGGUGCAAAGAGGUGAAUUUAUCAAGGAAAGAGUAGGAGGUGGUUGUGGUGGUCUAGAGAGUGAAGGCGGCGACGUCAAUGGUUGCUGUUAGCAGUAAGCGGUGGUAUGUUAUUUUUUUUCAGGCGGCGACGUCAAAGUUUGCAAGAGUGUUGCUUGCCUCAGGUAGAGUAGACAAAUAUAACGGGAGUCCUCCCUUCUCUCUUGGUUUGCAAGGAUAAGUUCCGUUAAUUGUCCGAAUUAGAAUGAAGACGUAAUUAGAGUUAGGUUAACUUCAAUAAUGGGAGAUUAAUUUGAGAAAUAUUUUAAUAAUAGGUACAUAGAAAUAUAAGAAACAGAAAUAUAUCAAGUCAUCUAUCACAAGCAUCUAUGAAGUUUCUAAAAACUAGAAAAUUUUCUAACAUUAUAAAGAAGGUAUGGGAAGAGGAUGUUUCACAUUCAUCAGAGAACAUCAUAGAGAUUCUCCUAAUGCAAUCGUCGACUUUAUUGGAAGAAUCAAAUCACUGAAAUAUCAUAGGUUCAGCAUAAGAAGCAAGAUAGAUCCAACAUAUCUAAUAUAAAACUGUAUGGCAAAAAGUUUACUUUUCCGAAGCGAAAUAAAAACAGAUAUAGGAAACAGAGGAAGAAUCCCGGCAUCAUCUGCCUUGUGAUAAUCUUUCAACAACAUCUCAAAAAACAAAAACAAAGAAAAUACAGAACCGAAACAUAAAUCUCCGUUAAACAUCAACCCAAAUUGCUUAAUUUCAACCACUUGUUUUACAUCGUUGAAACUACUAGGAACUGCCUACAUUAUACCUAACCCAAAAAAUUAGCCUACGAAACAGACAUAAAUUCUUCAAAAUCGAAAAUAAACAGACGUGCACAAGCAAAUAAAAUCCUUCAUUUUCUACAUGAUUUCAAUACCCUCUUUGCGAAUUUAAUUAAUUAAAUUCACUCAAAAUCAAAACUUUAAUUUAUUCACUAAAUCACAAAUUAAUUAACACAUAAAUUAAAAAUAGUAAUAAUAAUAAAAUUAACUUCAUAAAAUUAACAAUAUUUUAAAUAAGAUAAGUUGAACAAAAUAAAGAGACAAGCCAAUAAUUCAGAACAACCAAAUGUUUAUAAAUUUAUUGAUGACAAAUCAUCACACACACCUAGCCAAGGAAAUUACACAUAGCAGACACUCCGAGCCUUAAGCAGUUAAUCUGAUCUUCAUAAGUGACAAACUGUUGAAGAAGAUCUUAGCCGACAGGACCCUCACAGUACUAAACCUGAAGAAAUUAGAUAAAAAUAGAAUUUAAUAAUAAUGUAUUAAGUUCAAAGACAUUCAAAUUGCUGAAUGAAUUAGUCAACUUUGCAUUUUAUCAUGACACGACAUGCCUUGUCUUGUUCUUUUGCUCUGGUUAAAUCUGAUGGAGUUCCACUUGAACCUGCCCCUCCAAAACACAAGAGGUUUUGUCAAAUAAACAUUGAAAAGAAUUUAAAAGAGAAAAAAAGGAAUUGAAGAAUGGAUAAAAAUGUGAAACUAAAUAUGAUAUAUUUAAAUACUUAACCCGUACCUAAUCAGAUGUUUCUUCACCACUAUCAUCAUCGUCAACCUUGAUUUUAGGGAUAUGCUUGAUCUUGGGCCAAUCUUCUCCUGUUCCCCUUAUGCACCUUUUGCUCAACCUUGGACAAUCAAUGAUCUCAAGAUUUUGAAGUUUCUUUAAAUUGCUGAUGCACUCGGCAUUUCUCUAAUGUUUGGACAGUCUCUGAUGAAAAUGUUUGUAAGGAUUCUGCAGAUCCUUGAAAAAGCUGUUCUGGUAAAGCAAUAGUUGCUGGUAAGUCAAAUAUUACAAUACGAAGGGAAAGGGAAAGAGGUUGAAUUUUUCCUCUUUCUCUUCUUCUAUUGUCAUCAAAUCAAGCUUUUCACACUUUAUAAUAAAUAAUUCUUCCAAAGUAAUUAGGCAUUUUAUUCUUGGCAGAGAAAUCAAGCUAUCACAUUCAAAAAUAACCAAUUUUCGAAGACUUUUAAGAACUUGCAUAUCUUCGCACAAAUAUUCUAGAUUUUCACAAUGGGCAAUGAAUAAAGUUUGAAGACACUCCAAACACCCGAUCCCACCUUCUGGCAACCGCUUUUGCUGAGUAACUAGAUAUAGAAAUCUAAGGCUGAUCAUGUACCGCACAUCUUUCGGCAGCUCUUCUAAUCCCAAACCUAUAAGCAGAGCUUGCAAGUUUUGCAAUUUGAAAAUAGAUUUUGGGAGUCUUUUUAUUUUUGCGUUGCUUCUAAAAUAGAGAUAUCUCAAAUGUUUCAAGGCGCCAAUUCUCUCCGGAAAAGCCUCAAAUUCAGAAUCAUCCAAUAAUUCCAAAGACCGCAAAUGCUUAAAUUCUGACAAACAUUUUUCAAAGUCUGUUUUGCAUGUAGACCCCACUAUACUAUCUACAAAGACUAUUGACCGCACUUGAUGGAAGUUGUUUGGGAACUUGAGGAGAGUUUUAUGAAAAAAUAAAUCAGAGUCAAGAACUGUCAAAUGGCGGGUCGUUUUGGAAAUUUGGUGGUUUCGAGAGCCAAUGAUUGAAAACUCAUUUUGAGCCAAUGAUGAUGCAAGAUCAUGCAUUAAAUCAUGCAUCUUAAAGUAAGCUGAAACAAUCGUAACUACAUAAUCUUGGAAGAAACAUCUUGAUAUCAACUCGCGCACAUAACGCAAGCCAAAAUCUUCCAAGUUCUCAUUUGGAUCUGAUGAUUGAAGAAUGAGCCCAUGUGCCAUCCAAAAUUGCACCAAUUCGAGAUCUGCAAAUAGGUAAUCUUUUGGAAAAACCGAACAAUAAAGAAAGCAUCUUUUCAAGUGAGCCGGCAGUCUUUGAUAGCUUAUUUUCAAGGCAGGUAAAAUGCCAUCUCCCUCUUCUUCCCACUUCUCACUGUCUCUCACCGAUUCCCACUCUUUUUCAUCAGUCUUACCAUACAGUUGAGUCCCCAUGUUAAUCACUGCCAGAGGAACUUGCUUGCAUUUCGCCACUAUUUCUUUCCCAAUUCCAACCAAAUUU
rnacentral:lncRNA from 1 species